rnacentral:rRNA from 1 species
GUCUACGGCCAUGCCACCCUGGACAAGCUCGAUUUCGUAUGAUCUCGGAAGCUAAGCAGAGUCGGGCCUGGUUAGUACUUGGAUGGGAGACCACCUAGGAAGACCAGGUGCUGUAGGCU